rnacentral:rRNA from 1 species
UACGAAGGGGGCUAGCGUUGUUCGGAAUUACUGGGCGUAGAGCGCACGUAGGCGGACUACUAAGUCAGGGGUGAAAUCCCGGGGCUCAACCCCGGAACUGCCUUUGAUACUGAUAGUCUCGAGUCCGGAAGAGGUGAGUGGAAUUCCGAGUGUAGAGGUGAAAUUCGUAGAUAUUCGGAGGAACACCAGUGGCGAAGGCGGCUCACUGGUCCGGUACUGACGCUGAGGUGCGAAAGCGUGGGGAGCGAACAGG